rnacentral:tRNA from 1 species
UAGGCGGAUGCUCUCUGGUUUAAGCGCUUAGCUGUUAACUAAGAAUUUGUAGGAUCGAGGCCUACUCGUCUAG